GAUGACGGCCUUCGGGUGUAAACCUCUUUCAGUAGGGAAGAAGCGAAAGUGACGGUACCUGCAGAAGAAGCGCCGGCUAACUACGUGCCAGCAGCCGCGGUAAUACGUAGGGCGCAAGCGUUAUCCGGAUUUAUUGGGCGUAAAGAGCUCGUAGGCGGUUUGUCGCGUCUGCCGUGAAAGUCCGAGGCUCAACCUCGGAUCUGCGGUGGGUACGGGCAGACUAGAGUGAUGUAGGGGAGACUGGAAUUCCUGGUGUAGCGGUGAAAUGCGCAGAUAUCAGGAGGAACACCGAUGGCGAAGGCAGGUCUCUGGGCAUUUACUGACGCUGAGGAGCGAAAGCAUGGGGAGCGAACAGGAUUAGAUACCCUGGUAGUCCAUGCCGUAAACGUUGGGCACUAGGUGUGGGGGACAUUCCACGUUUUCCGCGCCGUAGCUAACGCAUUAAGUGCCCCGCCUGGGGAGUACGGCCGCAAGGCUAAAACUCAAAGGAAUUGACGGGGGCCCGCACAAGCGGCGGAGCAUGCGGAUUAAUUCGAUGCAACGCGAAGAACCUUACCAAGGCUUGACAUGUGCCAGACCGCUCCAGAGAUGGGGUUUCCCUUCGGGGCUGGUUCACAGGUGGUGCAUGGUUGUCGUCAGCUCGUGUCGUGAGAUGUUGGGUUAAGUCCCGCAACGAGCGCAACCCUCGUUCCAUGUUGCCAGCACGUAGUGGUGGGGACUCAUGGGAGACUGCCGGGGUCAACUCGGAGGAAGGUGGGGAUGACGUCAAAUCAUCAUGCCCCUUAUGUCUUGGGCUUCACGCAUGCUACAAUGGCCGGUACAAUGGGUUGCGAUACUGUGAGGUGGAGCUAAUCCCUAAAAGCCGGUCUCAGUUCGGAUUGGGGUCUGCAACUCGACCCCAUGAAGUCGGAGUCGCUAGUAAUCGCAGAUCAGCAACGCUGCGGUGAAUACGUUCCCGGGCCUUGUACACACCGCCCGUCAAGUCACGAAAGUUGGUAACACCCGAAGCCGAUGGCCUAACCACCUUGUGUGGGGGGAGUCGUCGAAGGGUGGACCC
rnacentral:rRNA from 1 species